GAUGAACGCUAGCGGCAGGCUUGACACAUGCAAGUCGAGGGGUAUAGUUCUUCGGAGCUAGAGACCGGCGCACGGGUGCGUAACGCGUAUGCAAUCUACCUUUUGCAGAGGGAUAGCCCAGAGAAAUUUGGAUUAUACCUCAUGGUAUGUGAGAAUGGCAUCAUUUUCACAUUAAAGUCACAACGGCAAAAGAUGAGCAUGCGUCCCAUUAGCUAGUUGGUAAGGUAACGGCUUACCAAGGCAACGAUGGGUAGGGGUCCUGAGAGGGAGAUCCCCCACACUGGAACUGGGACACGGACCAGACUCCUACGGGAGGCAGCAGUGAGGAAUAUUGGACAAUGGGCGCAAGCCUGAUCCAGCCAUGCCGCGUGCAGGAUGACGGUCCUAUGGAUUGUAAACUGCUUUUGUACAGGAAGAAACACUGGUUCGUGAACCAGCUUGACGGUACUGUAAGAAUAAGGAUCGGCUAACUCCGUGCCAGCCGCCGCCGUAAGAC
rnacentral:rRNA from 1 species